rnacentral:tRNA from 1 species
GGAGGUAUGGCUGAGUGGCUUAAGGCAUUGGUUUGCUAAAUCAAAGGUAGUUGCUACCCAUGGGUUCGAAUCCCAUUUCCUCCG